UACGUAGGGCGCAAGCGUUGUCCGGAAUUAUUGGGCGUAAAGAGCUCGUAGGCGGUCUGUCGCGUCCGUUGUGAAAACUCGAGGCUCAACCUCGGGCUUGCAGUGGAUGCGGGCAGACUAGAGUGCGGUAGGGGAGACUGGAAUUCCUGGUGUAGCGGUGGAAUGCGUAGAUAUCAGGAGGAACACCGAUGGCGAAGGCAGGUCUCUGGGCCGCAACUGACGCUGAGGAGCGAAAGCAUGGGGAGCGAACAGG
rnacentral:rRNA from 1 species